rnacentral:rRNA from 1 species
UCCGUAGGUGAACCUGCGGAAGGAACAUG